rnacentral:siRNA from 1 species
UUAGGAGCUUCACGCCACGUGUU